rnacentral:rRNA from 1 species
GACGAACGCUGGCGGCGCGCUUAACACAUGCAAGUCGAACGGAAAGGCCUGCUUUCCCUUGUGGAUUGCGGGUACUCGAGUGGCGAACGGGUGAGUAACACGUGAGUGAUCUGCCCCCAACUUGGGUAUAAGCCUGGGAAACUGGGUCUAAUUCCCGAUAGGACUGCAGGGUGGUGCCUGUGGUGGAAAACGAUUUUCUAGUGGUUGGGGAUGAGCUCGCGGCCUAUCAGCUUGUUGGUGGGGUAAUGGCCUACCAAGGCGGCGACGGGUAGCCGGCCUGAGAGGGUGGACGGCCACAUUGGGACUGAGAUACGGCCCAGACUCCUACGGGAGGCAGCAGUGGGGAAUAUUACACAAUGGGCGGAAGCCUGAUGCAGCGACGCCGUGUGGGGGAUGACGGCCUUCGGGUGGUAAACUCCUUUCGACCGCGAGGAAGCCACCUGGUUGGAAGGGUGGUGACGGUAGUGGUAGAAGAAGCACCGGCUAACUACGUG